rnacentral:rRNA from 1 species
CGUAGGGGCAAGCGUUAUCCGGAUUUACUGGGUGUAAAGGGAGCGUAGACGGCAUGGCAAGUCUGAAGUGAAAACCCAGGGCUCAACCCUGGGACUGCUUUGGAAACUGUCAAGCUAGAAUGCAGGAGAGGUAAGUGGAAUUCCUAGUGUAGCGGUGAAAUGCGUAGAUAUUAGGAGGAACACCAGUGGCGAAGGCGGCUUACUGGACUGUAACUGACGUUGAGGCUCGAAAGCGUGGGGAGCAAACAGGAUU